rnacentral:rRNA from 1 species
CGUGUCCUGUAGUGGGGGAUAGCCCGGCGAAAGCCGGAUUAAUACCGCAUACGCUCUGCGGAGGAAAGCGGGGGAUCCUUCGGGACCUCGCGCUACAGGGGCGGCCGAUGGCAGAUUAGCUAGUUGGUGGGGUAAAGGCCUACCAAGGCGACGAUCUGUAGCUGGUCUGAGAGGACGACCAGCCACACUGGGACUGAGACACGGCCCAGACUCCUACGGGAGGCAGCAGUGGGGAAUUUUGGACAAUGGGCGCAAGCCUGAUCCAGCAAUGCCGCGUGUGUGAAGAAGGCCUUCGGGUUGUAAAGCACUUUUGUCCGGAAAGAAAACCUCGUGGUUAAUACCCGUGGGGGAUGACGGUACCGGAAGAAUAAGCACCGGCUAACUACGUGCCAGCAGCCGCGGUAAUACGUAGGGUGCAAGCGUUAAUCGGAAUUACUGGGCGUAAAGCGUGCGCAGGCGGU